rnacentral:rRNA from 1 species
UACGAAGGGUGCAAGCGUUACUCGGAAUUACUCGGCGUAAAGGGUGCGUAGGUGGUUCGUUAAGUCUGAUGUGAAAGCCCUGGGCUCAACCUGGGAAUUGCAUUGGAUACUGGCGGGCUGGAGUGCGGUAGAGGGUAGUGGAAUUCCCGGUGUAGCAGUGAAAUGCGUAGAUAUCGGGAGGAACAUCCGUGGCGAAGGCGACUGCCUGGACCAGCACUGACACUGAGGCACGAAAGCGUGGGGAGCAAACAGGAUUAGAUACCCU